GAAAACUGAAAUUCGGGCUAAAAUGGGGAAAAUACCAAGUUGUGGACGAAAUGGUAAAAAUAGCCAUUUUCGCAUACGAGUGUUGACAAGCCAGCUCGGAAAUCGGAAGCGGUCGGAGGCACGCUCACACUAUCCGUAUACCAUCUUGGCAUAAUGGCUUGUAUAUUUUGAGUAUGGCAUGUAUAGCAUUAUAAUCAUUUUAUAUGUAUGGUCUUAUGAUAUGGUUAUUGAGUGGUAUGGAAAUAGAAA